AAGGACUAGACCACAGCCAACCAUUCUAAUCAAAGCCACAAUCGAUGGAUCCUACUGGAAUGAGGUGCUGCCACGGCGCGUGUGCUGGCCCCGUGGUGAAGGACACUAGAGCGCUGGCAAUGGCACCCCCAGCACAGAACGCCUGAGAACGACGAGACAAUUCAGGAAAUGUCGCCAAUAAUCCUCUGGGACGAUCUGGACAGAUCAUCAAACCCAACUUGCUGUGUCGACGUUCACCUCGAGCCCAAGAAAACAGCCUUUUUUUCCCCAGAGAAGAAUCAUUGCAGUGGGCACCAGGUCUGAAGCGAGCUUGUCCUGAAGAUUUGCCUGAUGCAAUACGUCCUUUGAGCUAGCAAGGACGGGGUCAGGUGCUAGUCACAGCACCUCUGUGUAGAACAGAAUAAAAUGCUGCCGGUGCUGUGCCACCCUCCGCCGUCACUGUGAUGUUGGAGCUCACCGUUGUGGCCACUGUGUCCAUCCGCCGCAUUGAAGGUCUUCUCCUCUCUCCACGAUC